GAAAUCUUAGGAUAAAAUUAGCAAAGAUUAGCCUGGUCCCUAUGCAAGGAUGACACACAUAUUUGUGAAGNUUUCCAUAUUUUU
rnacentral:snRNA from 1 species